UACAGAGGGGGCAAGCGUUAUUCGGAAUUAUUGGGCGUAAAGGGCGCGUAGGCGGCUUGGCAAGUGGAUGGUGAAAUCCCUCGGCUUAACCGAGGAACUGCCGUCCAAACUGCUUUGCUUGAGACCGGGAGAGGUGAGUGGAAUUCCCAGUGUAGCGGUGAAAUGCGUAGAUAUUGGGGAGGAGCACCAGUGGCGAAGGCGGCUCACUGGACCGGUACUGACGCUGAGGCACGAAAGCGUGGGGGAGCAAACAGG
rnacentral:rRNA from 1 species